rnacentral:rRNA from 1 species
UACGUAGGGUGCGAGCGUUGUCCGGAAUUACUGGGCGUAAAGAGCUCGUAGGCGGUUUGUCGCGUUGUUCGUGAAAACCGGAGGCUUAACCUUCGGCGUGCGGGCGAUACGGGCAGACUGGAGUACUGCAGGGGAGACUGGAAUUCCUGGUGUAGCGGUGGAAUGCGCAGAUAUCAGGAGGAACACCGGUGGCGAAGGCGGGUCUCUGGGCAGUAACUGACGCUGAGGAGCGGAAGCGUGGGGAGCGAACAGG